rnacentral:rRNA from 3 species
GCGGCCCCAAGUCAGGCGAGACCACCCGCCGAGUUUAAGCAUAUCA